UACGGAGGGUGCGAGCGUUAAUCGGAAUUACUGGGCGUAAAGGGUGCGUAGGUGGGUAUUUAAGUUAUCGGUGAAAUUCCUGGGCUUAACCUGGGGUGGUCAGAUAAGACUGGAUGACUUGAGUAUGGGAGAGGGUAGUGGAAUUUCCGGUGUAGCGGUGAAAUGCGUAGAGAUCGGAAGGAACACCAGUGGCGAAGGCGGCUACCUGGCCUAAUACUGACGCUGAGGCGCGAAAGCGUGGGGAGCAAACAGG
rnacentral:misc_RNA from 1 species